rnacentral:rRNA from 1 species
AUGUGGGAAGUAUGGCUGGAUUGUAGGCUCGAGAUGUGCUUGCAUGUCCCAUGGAGUGCAUGGACUCCGACGAGGCCGACCGCAGAGGUGCCUGUGUUGCCGAUCGGUGACGGGACCGGUUUGGGAGGGGCACCCGGGCAGGUGGCCUCGGCCCCCUCUUCUUCUCCUGCGGCGGUCAGGGUGGCCGAGCCUGCGGCGUCGUCCGCUCAACUGCAGGUGCGGAUCCAGCCGACGCUGACCGGGAUGUGGAUCUUUGUCAGGGACCUCACUGGCAGUGGCGGAGCUUGGCCCAGAAAACUGGGCGGGCCGACAGUAGGAAAGAACUAUUGGGAUGGUGUUUCAUGGCCCAAAAGUAAGUAUACACUACAGAAAAAUCGAAUGGGCUGGGCGGGCCACGGCCCAUUCGGCCUUGCUGUAGCUCCGCCACUGCUCACUGGUAAGAUCAUCACCCUCGGGGUUAAUGGUUCAGAUACCAUCGACAUUGUGAAGACCAAGAUUCAGGAAUUACGGGAUCUUGUGCUUCAGAGAAAGUGCGAUGAAGGCCUCAAGGAUUUUGGACGUUAUAACGUCAAGGAUUUUUCUGUUGUCUACCACGACGGGAAGCGGCUGGAGGCCGGUCGUACUUUCGCAGAUUAUGGCAUCCAGAGUGGGUCAAUUCUCCAGGCAAAGAUGCUGAUCUACGUCUUGAAGCUGGCAGACAUUGUGGCCGGAAAGAGUGGCAGGACCAUCACUCUUGAGGUCGAUGGCUCAGAUACCAUCUACAGUCUCAAGGCAAAGAUUCUUGACGAGGAGGCCAUUCCCCCGGGCAAUCAGCGGUUGUUCUAUGGUAGGAAGUUGCUGGAGGAUGACCGUACCCUGGAUUACUACGACAUGAAAAGUGAGAAUGUCCUUCAUGUUAGUUCUAGGCAGCCGAACAGAAACAGGGUGCGUAUCUACAUCAACACUUUGACCGGCAAGACCAUCACCUGUGUUAGGGUCUGGACUUCCACUAUAAUUGGCAAUGUGAAGGCCAAGAUCCACGAUGAGACGGGCAUUCCCCCUUCCAAACAUUGCCUCUUCUUCAACGGGACCCUACUGGAGGACGGCAGCACCCUAGCGGACUACAGCAUCCACACAGAGUCCACCCUCCGUUUCCAGCUAGCCAUUCCAGGUGCUCCCAGUCCCAGGUCUCAGCUUUCCCUGCUUGGUGGUCAGCGAGAUGGAUAG